rnacentral:rRNA from 1 species
UAGGGAAUCUUCCACAAUGGACGAAAGUCUGAUGGAGCAACGCCGCGUGAGUGAAGAAGGGUUUCGGCUCGUAAAACUCUGUUGUUAAAGAAGAACAUAUCUGAGAGUAACUGUUCAGGUAUUGACGGUAUUAACCAGAAAGCCACGGCUAACUACGUGCCAA